CUACGGGUGGCUCCAGUGAGGAAUUUUGCGCAAUGGGCGAAAGCCUGACGCAGCAACGCCGCGUGAGUGAUGAAGGCCUUCGGGUCGUAAAGCUCUGUCAAGUGGGAAGAACCUAUGUAAUGUUAAUAUCAUUAUAUACUGACGGUACCACUGAAGGAAGCACCGGCUAACUCCGUGCCAGCAGCCGCGGUAAUACGGGGGGUGCAAGCGUUAUUCGGAAUCAUUGGGCGUAAAGGGCACGUAGGCGGCCUGGUAAGUCAGAUGUGAAAGCCCGGGGCUUAACCCCGGAAGUGCAUUUGGUACUGUCAGGCUUGAGUAUGGGAGAGGGAAGUGGAAUUCCUGGUGUAGAGGUGAAAUUCGUAGAUAUCAGGAGGAACACCGGUGGCGAAGGCGACUUCCUGGACCAAUACUGACGCUGAGGUGCGAAGGCAUGGGUAGCAAACAGGAUUAGAUACCCGGGUAGUC
rnacentral:rRNA from 1 species